AGAGUUUGAUCCUGGCUCAGGACGAACGCUGGCGGCGUGCCUAAUACAUGCAAGUCGAACGCUUCUUUCUUCCCGAGAGCUUGCUCUCAAUGAAAAAGAGGAGUGGCGGACGGGUGAGUAACACGUGGGUAACCUACCCAUCAGAGGGGGAUAACACUUGGAAACAGGUGCUAAUACCGCAUAACAGUUUAUGCCGCAUGGCAUAAGAGUGAAAGGCGCUUUCGGGUGUCGCUGAUGGAUGGACCCGCGGUGCAUUAGCUAGUUGGUGAGGUAACGGCUCACCAAGGCCACGAUGCAUAGCCGACCUGAGAGGGUGAUCGGCCACACUGGGACUGAGACACGGCCCAAACUCCUACGGGAGGCAGCAGUAGGGAAUCUUCGGCAAUGGACGAAAGUCUGACCGAGCAACGCCGCGUGAGUGA
rnacentral:rRNA from 1 species